CGGUAACAGGAAGCAGCUUGCUGCUUUGCUGACGAGUGGCGGACGGGUGAGUAAUGUCUGGGAAACUGCCUGAUGGAGGGGGAUAACUACUGGAAACGGUGGCUAAUACCGCAUAACGUCGCAAGACCAAAGAGGGGGACCUUCGGGCCUCUUGCCAUCAGAUGUGCCCAGAUGGGAUUAGCUUGUUGGUGAGGUAACGGCUCACCAAGGCGACGAUCCCUAGCUGGUCUGAGAGGAUGACCAGCCACACUGGAACUGAGACACGGUCCAGACUCCUACGGGAGGCAGCAGUGGGGAAUAUUGCACAAUGGGCGCAAGCCUGAUGCAGCCAUGCCGCGUGUAUGAAGAAGGCCUUCGGGUUGUAAAGUACUUUCAGCGGGGAGGAAGGUGUUGUGGUUAAUAACCGCAGCAAUUGACGUUACCCGCAGAAGAAGCACCGGCUAACUCCGUGCCAGCAGCCGCGGUAAUACGGAGGGUGCAAGCGUUAAUCGGAAUUACUGGGCGUAAAGCGCACGCAGGCGGUCUGUCAAGUCGGAUGUGAAAUCCCCGGGCUCAACCUGGGAACUGCAUUCGAAACUGGCAGGCUUGAGUCUUGUAGAGGGGGGUAGAAUUCCAGGUGUAGCGGUGAAAUGCGUAGAGAUCUGGAGGAAUACCGGUGGCGAAGGCGGCCCCCUGGACAAAGACUGACGCUCAGGUGCGAAAGCGUGGGGAGCAAACAGGAUUAGAUACCCUGGUAGUCCACGCCGUAAACGAUGUCUACUUGGAGGUUGUGCCCUUGAGGCGUGGCUUCCGGAGCUAACGCGUUAAGUAGACCGCCUGGGGAGUACGGCCGCAAGGUUAAAACUCAAAUGAAUUGACGGGGGCCCGCACAAGCGGUGGAGCAUGUGGUUUAAUUCGAUGCAACGCGAAGAACCUUACCUGGUCUUGACAUCCACAGAACUUUCCAGAGAUGGAUUGGUGCCUUCGGGAACUGUGAGACAGGUGCUGCAUGGCUGUCGUCAGCUCGUGUUGUGAAAUGUUGGGUUAAGUCCCGCAACGAGCGCAACCCUUAUCCUUUGUUGCCAGCGGUCCGGCCGGGAACUCAAAGGAGACUGCCAGUGAUAAACUGGAGGAAGGUGGGGAUGACGUCAAGUCAUCAUGGCCCUUACGACCAGGGCUACACACGUGCUACAAUGGCGCAUACAAAGAGAAGCGACCUCGCGAGAGCAAGCGGACCUCAUAAAGUGCGUCGUAGUCCGGAUUGGAGUCUGCAACUCGACUCCAUGAAGUCGGAAUCGCUAGUAAUCGUGGAUCAGAAUGCCACGGUGAAUACGUUCCCGGGCCUUGUACACACCGCCCGUCACACCAUGGGAGUGGGUUGCAAAAGAAGUAGGUAGCUUAACCUUCGGGAGGGCGCUUACCACUUUGUGAUUCAUGACUGGGGUGAAGUCGUAACAAGGUAACCGUAGGGGAACCUGC
rnacentral:rRNA from 2 species